rnacentral:rRNA from 1 species
AUACGGAAGGUCCGGGCGUUAUCCGGAUUUAUUGGGUUUAAAGGGAGCGCAGGCGGAGAUGCUAGCGUGACGUCAAAUUUCGGGGCUCAACCCCGUCUCGCGUCGCGAACUGCGUCCCUUGGUUGCGGGAAGGGGAGGCGGAACUCGUGGUGUAGCGGCGAAAUGCAUAGAUAUCACGAAGAACUCCGGUCGCGAAGGCAGCCUUCCGGCCCGUCAACGACGCUCAUGCUCGAAGGUGCAGGUAUCAAACAGGAUUAGAUACCCUGGUAGUCCGCACAGUAAACGAUGGACUCCCGCGGUUUGGCCUAUAUGGCUGAGCCGCCAAGCGAAAGCGUUAAGUGUCCCACCUGGGGAGUACGCCGGCAACGGUGAAACUCAAAUGAAUUGACGGGG